rnacentral:rRNA from 1 species
CCUACGGGAGGCUGCAGUGAGGAAUAUUGGUCAAUGGCCGGAAGGCUGAACCAGCCAAGCCGCGUGAAGGACGAAGGUGCCAAGCAUUGUAAACUUCUUUUGUCAAGGGACAAAAUCAGGCUCGAGUGCCUUAUUGAGGGUACUUGAUGAAAAAGCAUCGGCUAACUCCGUGCCAGCAGCCGCGAUAAUACGGGGGAUGCGAGCGUUAUCCGGAUUUAUUGGGUUUAAAGAGCGCGUAGCAGGGUUAUGAAGUCAGAUGUGAAUGUCUAUGGCUUAACCAUAAAAUUGCAUUUGAAACUGUUAGUCGAGAGUAUGGGAGAGGUAGGUGGAAUUCGUGGUGGAGGGGUAAAAUCCGUAGAGAUCAAGAGGAAUACUCAUUGCGAAGGCGACCUACUAGACCAUAACUGACGCUGAUGCGCGAAAGCGUGGGGAGCAAACAGGAUUAGAUACCCUUGUAGUC